rnacentral:rRNA from 1 species
CCUACGGGUGGCAGCAGUGAGGACUAUUGGUCAAUGGCCGGAAGGCUGAACCAGCCAAGCCGCUUGAGGGACGAAGGUGCCAAGCAUUGUAAACUUCUUUUGUCAAGGGACAAAAUCAGGCACGAGAGCCUGACCGAGGGUACUUGAAGAAAAAGCAUCGGCUAACUCCGUGCCAGCAGCCGCGGGAAUACGGAGGAUGCGAGCGUUAUCCGGAUUUAUUGGGGUUAACGGGUGCGUAGUCGGACCUUUAAUGCAGCGGUAAAAGCCCGGGGCUCAACCGCGGAGAGCCGUUGACACUGGCUGGCUUGAGAUGUCGAGAGGUAUGCGGAAUGCGAGGUGUAGCGGUGAAAUGCUUAGAUAUUGCGAAGAACUCCGAUUGCGAAGGCAGCAUACCGGCGGCGAGCUGACGCUGAGGCACGAAAGCGUGGGUAUCGAACAGGAUUAGAUACCCGAGUAGUC